rnacentral:rRNA from 1 species
UUGAAAGGGAAACGAUUGAAGUCAGUCAUGCCGGUGGGAAUCAACUUAGGGGAAACUCUAGGUGCACUUCUUCGCUUGGCAGGUCAAUGUCGAUUUUGAAUGUCAUAAAAUAAUUGGGGGAAGGUAGCUCCUUCGGGAGUGUUAUAGCCCUUGAUAGAUGUGAUGUUUGGGGUCGAGGAUUGCAACGGAUACCCUCUGGGGCUAGCCGCCUGAUCUCUAAUCGGUGUUGGGUUACGGAUAGCAUGCUGACCGUGAUCUAAUUACUGGUUAAAAGGUUAGAGCGUGCAUAAAUUCGUUAAGGAUGUUGACGUA